rnacentral:rRNA from 1 species
GAUGAACGCUGGCGGCGUGCCUAACACAUGCAAGUCGAGCGAUUCUCUUCGGAGAAGAGCGGCGGACGGGUGAGUAACGCGUGGGUAACCUGCCCUGUACACACGGAUAACAUACCGAAAGGUAUGCUAAUACGGGAUAAUAUGCUUUAGUCGCAUGGCUGAAGUAUCAAAGCUCCGGCGGUACAGGAUGGACCCGCGUCUGAUUAGCUAGUUGGUAAGGUUAUGGCUUACCAAGGCGACGAUCAGUAGCCGACCUGAGAGGGUGAUCGGCCACAUUGGAACUGAGACACGGUCCAAACUCCUACGGGAGGCAGCAGUGGGGAAUAUUGCACAAUGGGCGAAAGCCUGAUGCAGCAACGCCGCGUGAGCGAUGAAGGCCUUCGGGUCGUAAAGCUCUGUCCUCAAGGAAGAUAAUGACGGUACUUGAGGAGGAAGCCCCGGCUAACUACGUGCCAGCAGCCGCUGUAA